rnacentral:other from 2 species
UUUUUCCUGCUCGGUGCGUGACGGGCCCUAUUUAAACCCACAUCUCUGAAACGGGACGCCCCCUCACAGUGCGGACCGCAGGCCUCCCGGCCCCCUUCGCGGGGCGGCCGGAAGUUGGAAGCGACGAAACACCGUGGAGGCGACCCACCUGCCGAUUUCGUGCAGGUUUUAAAUCGGGCUCGCACGGCCAGAGCGGGGUCACC